CAGUCUCAAAGCGCAGGCAAAUGUAUGCUUGCAUACACAUUUGCCUGUGCUUUAGAGACGACAACAUGUAUGAGCAAGGAGGCUGAUAAGCCGGAUUGCGAAUGCAUGUCAGGAAUUGCGGGAAUGCGGAAGCAUGGAGCAAUUC
rnacentral:sRNA from 1 species